rnacentral:rRNA from 1 species
CACGUAGGGGCGAGCGUUGUCCGGAUUUAUUGGGCGUAAAGAGCUCGUAGGCGGCUCGGUAAGUCGGGUGUGAAACCUCCAGGCUCAACCUGGAGACGCCACCCGAUACUACCGUGGCUAGAGUCCGGUAGAGGAGCGUAGAAUUCCCGGUGUAGCGGUGAAAUGCGCAGAUAUCAGGAGGAAUACCAGCGGCGAAGGCGGCGCUCUGGGCCGGUACUGACGCUGAGGAGCGAAAGCGUGGGGAGCAAACAGG